UGGGAGGCUGAUACACAAAUUGAGCUAAGUACUGCUCUAAUUGUCACCACACCUCCCUAGAAUAAACUGCCUUUAAAAAAUAUAUAUACUUUUAUUGAUUUCAGAGAGGAAGGGAGAGCAACAGAGAGAUAGAAACAU
rfam:Myotis brandtii contig191378, whole genome shotgun sequence.